rnacentral:tRNA from 1 species
GGGUAGGUUCCCGAGCGGUCAAAGGGGACUGACUGUAAAUCAGUUAGCUAAUGCUUUCGGUGGUUCGAAUCCACCCCUGCCCA